rnacentral:rRNA from 1 species
UACGGGGGGGGCAAGCGUUGUUCGGAAUUACUGGGCGUAAAGGGCUCGUAGGCGGCCAACUAAGUCCGACGUGAAAUCCCCAGGCUUAACCUGGGAACUGCGUCGGAUACUGGAUGGCUUGAAUUCGGGAGAGGGAUGCAGAAUUCCAGGUGUAGCGGUGAAAUGCGUAGAUAUACGGAGGAACACCUGCGGCGAAGGCGGGUAGCUGGGCCAACACUGACGCUGAGACGCGAAAGCUAGGGGAGCGAACAGG